UGGUCUGGAACUUCUGAGUUCAAGCGGUCC
rnacentral:piRNA from 1 species